GUAGUCAUAUGCUUGUCUCAAGGAUUAAGCCAUGCAUGUCUAAGUAUAAGCAAUCUAUACGGUGAAACUGCGAAUGGCUCAUUAAAUCAGUUAUCGUUUAUUUGAUAGUACCUUACUACUUGGAUAACCGUGGUAAUUCUAGAGCUAAUACAUGCUAAAAACCCCGACUUCGGAAGGGGUGUAUUUAUUAAAUAAAAAACCAAUGCCCUUCGGGGCUCACUGGUGAUUCAUAAUAACUUAACGAAUCGCAUGGCCUUGUGCCGGCGAUGGUUCAUUCAAAUUCCUGCCCUAUCAACUUUCGAUGGUAUGGUCUUGGCUUACCAUGGUUUCAACGGGUAACGGGGAAUUAGGGUUCUAUUCCGGAGAGGGAGCCUGAGAAACGGCUACCACAUCCAAGGAAGGCAGCAGGCGCGCAAAUUACCCAAUCCCGACACGGGGAGGUAGUGACAAUAAAUAACAAUAUAGGGCUCUUUCGGGUCUUAUAAUUGGAAUGAGUACAAUUUAAAUCUCUUAACGAGGAACAAUUGGGGGGCAAGUCUGGUGCCAGCAGCC
rnacentral:rRNA from 1 species